GUUAAGUCCCGCAACGAGCGCAACCCUUAUCAUUAGUUGCUACCAUUUAGUUGAGAACUCUAAUGAGACUGCCGGUGAUAAACCGGAGGAAGGCGGGGACGACGUCAAGUCAUCAUGGCCCUUAUGGGAUGGGCUACACACGUGCUACAAUGGUCGGUACAAACAGUUGCGAAGCCGCGAGGUGGUGCUAAUCUGAAAAAACCGAUCGUAGUCCGGAUUGGAGUCUGCAACUCGACUCCAUGAAGUCGGAAUCGCUAGUAAUCGCAAAUCAGAAUGUUGCGGUGAAUACGUUCCCGGGCCUUGUACACACCGCCCGUCACACCAUGGGAGUGGGUUGCACCAGAAGUAGCUAGUCUAACCUUCGGGAGGACGGUUACCACGGUGUGAUUCAUGACUGGGGUGAAGUCGUAACAAGGUAGCCCUAUCGGAAGGUGGGGCUGGAUCA
rnacentral:rRNA from 1 species